UGGGGAAUAUUGCACAAUGGGCGCAAGCCUGAUGCAGCCAUGCCGCGUGUGUGAAGAAGGCCUUCGGGUUGUAAAGCACUUUCAGCGAGGAGGAAGGUGGUGAGCUUAAUACGCUCAUCAAUUGACGUUACUCGCAGAAGAAGCACCGGCUAACUCCGUGCCAGCAGCCGCGGUAAUACGGAGGGUGCAAGCGUUAAUCGGAAUUACUGGGCGUAAAGCGCACGCAGGCGGUUUGUUAAGUCAGAUGUGAAAUCCCCGGGCUCAACCUGGGAACUGCAUUUGAAACUGGCAAGCUAGAGUCUCGUAGAGGGGGGUAGAAUUCCAGGUGUAGCGGUGAAAUGCGUAGAGAUCUGGAGGAAUACCGGUGGCGAAGGCGGCCCCCCUGGACGAAGACUGACGCUCAGGUGCGAAAGCGUGGGGCAGCAAACAGGAUUAGAUACCCUGGUAGUCCACGCUGUAAACGAUGUCGAUUUGGAGGUUGUGCCCUUGAGGCGUGGCUUCCGGAGCUAACGCGUUAAAUCGACCGCCUGGGGAGUACGGCCGCAAGGUUAAAACUCAAAUGAAUUGAC
rnacentral:rRNA from 1 species